UCAACAGGUUACAAUGAAUUAUAAAAUUUAACCAUCAAAAUCAUUAUUCAAUAGAUUAAGUGGUCAAUUUAUUCAUCAGGUGAAUGGCGUCGUUUAGAUCAAUAUUUGAUUAACUAAAUAUUAUCAUAUUAUCAAGGAUCAACUUUUAUCCAUUUUUUUCAAUGGACACUCUCAACCUCAACCUUAUACAGUCAAAGUAAUUGGUAGACCUAAAGGUUAACUUAUUCACACCGUUCAGUCAACAAACAACAUCUUAAUGGAUUUAAUUAUAAACAUAUCACGAUGUCGACCAACAAUGUUACCUGAUAUAGUUACACUUGUCCGUAAAUAUAAUUAAAUGCCCAUUCUCAAGUGGUUUGACCAACUAAGAAAUAAAUAGCGAGGCAAGAAAAGGAUUGGGUAUACAAAAGCCAAGUAAAAUGGCGAAAAUGAAAGGAUUAUUGUUUCAACAAGGACCAUACUCAUCUUAAUCAUAAUCAUCCUUUUCAUCAGCAUUACCAAAUUGUUUGAUCAUCAAACAAUUUGUUUUCAACAACAAACCAAACAGAUAGAUUGUGAACUCAGAUUAUCACAUGAGAAAAGCAACUCAUCUCAAGAAAAUCAGAAAAUUAAGAAAUGAAGCAACUAAUAACCAGAAGGAGAAGUAACAAGAUGACCAAAAUGAAAGAUUCAAGAUUCUUGCUCAUUGUACUAAAAGUUGAUUUUGACUGAAUCAACGUCCUCCUUUCAAGUUAGCCUGGGUUUUCUGGUUACUACUAUACAUAAACGGAUCUACUCAUUUUUAUGAUGAAAAAUCUAAAGAAACUGUUGACUGAAAUCAAGCAAAGGAUUUGCAUUUUGACAUUCACUUGGUUUUUGAUUGCAAAUUAAGGAUCAAUUUGUUUAUUUUUUCUUCUUCUUUCUGGUCACUUUCCUUGAAUCUUAUUUCAAGUUGACGGAAAAAAGAGCAACAAAUUGAAUGGUUAACCCAUUUCCAUAUCUUUCCUUCGGCCCCUUAUCUUAACUAUUCAUCAACAAGUAACCCACAAAAAAAGUAAAUCAUCAUCUUCAACAUUUCGAGUUGCUUCUUUUUGGCUAUCACAAGAGGAACACAAUUACAGCAAAUAAUCUGGAAAAAAAUAUCAUUCCCAACCAACCAUUCACAAGACCAAUUAAUACAAGCUCUUCAAUUGUUGACAGUGGAACCUCUCACAUGGGACUUAAUAAUUAUAUCACGCUUUGUAAUCUGUACAGUGAUUAAUUGCAGAUGUAUUUAGCAAUUACUUAUCUUUCAGUCCCAUCAGUCCAGCUAUUAGAUUAAAGAUGAGUUUAUCAAUUUUCAACAAAUUGUGAUCUCAAACGAUGGCCUAAAAAGUUAUUUCACUUGCUGUAUAUCAAAUGAUCAUCUAAUUUCUCAACUCUACUCAAUUCCUCAAUCAUCAGCUUUUUUUUCUGCCGCUUUACUGAUCAAAUCUCAUCCAUAAUGUACCAUUUUCAGUGAUCUGACCCUCAUUCAAAAUGCUCUGAUCAUUUUCAAUUUUUUUAAUUUCUCUCGCCAUGAUGACAAUUAUGAUUAUAAGACAUCAUCAUGAUCAUCAUCACCUUCUAUCAUGAUCAUACUUUUAUUGAUAUUGUAGUCAAAGAAUGUGUAAAUGAGCACAAGAUAAAACGGCGAAUCGUGUUCCCAAAAUCAUUAUAUAUUAUAACCAUUAUCAUCAAAAUUAGGACAAAAAUGAAAUAAACCAUAAAUAUCGUUGAAUAUCAAACUCUCACCAAAUGAGUAAAUUGACCUGUAAAAAUUGAAUCAACAUUCAAUUGAAAAAUCGUGCAAACAAUCCAAUAAUUUGCAUCUAUUGACAAUUGAUAUGGACGAAAUUGCGUUAAAAUUAUUUCAUUGCUGUUUAAUUUCCCUAUCACAACAACAUCAGCUUCAACAAUCAAUAACAGCUAACGAUUCAAUCACUAUACAGAGCUUGCCAACCAUUGAUAUUGUUGCUUAUUAACUAAACUAAUCAAUUUCAUUCACUGAUCCACCUCUCAAUCAGGGUAUAUUUAAUUUGUAAACAUUUCCUUUAUAUUUAAUCAUAAUAAUUGGUUGAUUACAUUUGCCACAAGGUAAACCAUCAUUUAAACAGUUUGACUUGGUCUCCUUACCAUAAUACACUCUCAUUGCUAUUUGACCAAUGAUUAUCAUUAUAUCAUUUUUGGUAAAUUGUUUUCCGAUAGUUUCUAAUUUGAUAUUCAGUUAUUUUUUGCCAGCUAAUUGUCAAUUAACUAUUAAUUUGAUAGCGAUUAAGAACUCAAGGUUUCUAUUGAUAUCAAAGAAAUCAAAAACCUUCUAAUUUGAUCACAACUUGCCCAAAAGUUUACUGAAUGUUUAAAAUAUAAAUUGAUUUCUAAUUGUCUCAAUCAAUCUUAUUGGUAAUUUUGCAUUUAUAAACAAUUUAAAUUGUAGAUGAAAAUUUUUGCAUUCAAAUUGUGAUCAAGACUGAUAGAGGAUUCCAGUAAUAGUAGGACUUGUGGAUCCCGAUAUCUAUGAAUUAUCCAUUGUUUGAUCAACCUUACAACUUGUCAGUCUAGAUUACAUGUUUUAUAUUCAAAUUGAACUGUGAUUUAUUUUGUUCUCAUCUUUCAUGGUGAAACCAAUCGUUAGGAUAGCCAUAACAAUCAAAAGACUGGAUAAAAAGAUGUUCACUUGUUUCGCCUCUUAAUAACUGGUUGUUGGUUUUCAUCUUGCCUUGGUUGUUUGUUUUAAUGCCUAUCAAGAGUAAAGCAAAAAUAAUGAUUAAAUAAUAAUCAUCAUCAUCAAGAAUGAAUAUUAUGAAUAUUUUGUGUUUUCUAUAAGUAUUUGGUUACUAUUUGCUGGUGAUUUUGUUAGACUUCAGUUUUAAAAUGAUUAACCAUCUUGCAUAUGCUAUCCCAUGCGCUCAGGAUUCUUACCAUGACAAGGCUACUUCCGGGAUUCCAGUUGUAAAUAAGCUCUAGUUUGAUUAUUUUGAUUGCUAAGGGAAAGAACCGACAAUAAUAUCCUCGGAAGAGGCUUUACAAGCUAAGGGUGUGGACAUUAUGCGAGAUUAUCUCCAAACAAUUUGGUGGCCCAGAUAGUUAUUGAUCAAACUUACAUUAGCCAUACAAUUUGUCAACAUUAACCAGACGGAAUUAUCAAUGAGGAAAGAAAGUAAAGCAACAUGUCCGAUAAUAUUUAAUCAAUUUGUACCCAUUAACAAAUUUACUAAGUCACUGAAAGGUGGAAAGAUUUUGCAUCAACCCUGAUUCUGAUUAACUUACUUUAGCUAAUGAUGACUGAAUCAAAAAAAGGAGCAGAACCAGAAAACCUGAUAAUAGCAAAUUCUGUACAAUUGAUCCACCCUGUAUGACGGUUCCAAUCUGAAGGACAAAAUGGUGUAUUCAAUGAGAAAAAGAAAUAAUUCGAUGUUCAUUUUGUGAAGUAUCUUUAUCCGCUGUUAUCCUUUUCAUUUCAACCUGAGCUUCAACCUUGUAACCAGGGCAUUAUACACAUUCACACAACGUUGUUGAAAGAUUAACUUUUUCCAGUGAUUAACUAUAAAUCUGGAAACAUCAUUCAUUUGGUGGCUAUCAUGAAGAAAGAAAAGUUAUUGAAAAGUCUAAAAAGAGGAAGAGAUGAAUGCUGUGAAGAAUGCACUGUUUCUCACUGCAAUUUCAUCAGUCAUUAAAUUGUUACACUAAAUUGGUAAAAGUUAUCAUUGAAGGCUGGUUAACUACCUGAUUGUUGGCUUAAUAUCCACUUGAAACGUUAAUCAAUAACUAAAUUUGAUUUCAUCAUUGCCGCAGAAGAAGAUGAUAAUGUUGAUGAUGAGAAUGAUGAUGGUGAUAAUCCUAAUAAAUUAUAUGGAAUCCGAUUUAAUUUGGUUUACACCUUGCAGCUAUUAACGUGACUCAAAGUCAAAUAUUAGACAUUCAUAAGCAUAAUCAAUACACGAUCAUGUUUAGCGUGUGAAUAUUAAUAACUUUCAAAUAUUGCGUACUCAGUAAAUGAGUACAAUCAACUAUAAAACACAACAGGCUAAAGCUACAAUCAAAGCUUAUCUGCAAGCAAAUCAGCGACUGUUUACCAAAUUGAAUCAAUAUCAAUAUUCAACCGAGAUUAUUUCUUGGUGGUUGAAAUAUCGCAAAUUGUUCUUCUUCAAUGAUUAUUCAAUGUGUAACACAUCAAUUGUUUGGAUUCCAGAGUAAUGAUGAUGGUAACUAUUAAAGGAAAUCACAGGAAUUACAAGAGCAAAACAUUAACCCAACAAUCUUGGUCAAAGGAAUCAUCGUAAAGAUGAAAUAAAAAUUGAUAAUCUCUCCUGGAAUUAUAAUGAAGACUACAAUAGAGGAUAACAUCUUUGGAGACGGUCUCGUUCAAUAUAAGUGCAAAAGUACCAUUGGAAUCACUGAUUUGCUCGUAAAAUAGCCCAUAAACUAUCAUCAACGUAAUAUCCUCAUGUUAAUAUCGUAAUUGUCAACAUUUCCUUCUAUCACGCUUCAAUUGUUCCUAAACAUUGAAUGAUCCUGUGGAAACCUCUGUGGAUCCAUUACUCUUUGAUUGGUACAAUUUACAUGCACAUUGUUGCUGGUUAUGGCUGAUAUUCAGUUGCUCAUUUGAUUGGACUAGCGUUAUAAUUCAAUUUAAAUUUGUCUGCAUUUAUUUUCAUAAAUUAGUUUUACGGUAAUGAAUAUUUUGGUUUCAAUUCGCAGAUAUUUUUCAUCUUAAUGAAAAUCACAGCAACAUUAAUCUUACGUUUGAGUUUGGAUUUAAAGAUUAUGCAGCAAGAAUUGGCGUUUUUUCAACGAUAUUCAAUGACUCUUUAAAGACAAAACUACCUGAAGAUAUUUAGAUUGAGUAACUGAAUUUCAAAUGAUAAGGUGAUUGGGUGACGAAGGAAACAUGAUUUCUUUUGGAUUGUGAAUUCAUUAAUGUAUGAUCUUUCGGUUGACAAUUCCAUUUGUGUUUUAACAAUCAUUAGGAGACAAGGAAGAGACAUUCAAUUAACAAGAGUGAUAAUCAGGCAACAUAUCAGUCGACACUUAAUCCCGAUAUUAUCGUUCUAGAUGCAGGAUUGUAGGAAAUAAGGAAAAAAAAUGAUUCAGGUCAAAUUUAUGGUCAUCCAAACAACUUUUCCCCCUUGUUUAUGAUUGUUUGUUUUGUUAACUGUGAAAUGACAGAUGUAAUUAGCAGCUUUUAGUUACUGAUUUACCUGUUCAAACUUGCCCAAAGCAUCUCAAUCUUCAGUUUUCAUUUGGUUUGCUUCAGUAGAGAAAUCUUGGUUAAUCAAGUAAAUCAUGUUUUUUUGUUAUGUUUCUAACUGUUAAUUAACGAAUGUAAUCGUAAUAUGUGAUCUUAGUUGCAGAAGAAAAGCAAACGUAUCUGAUUUUGUUACAAGUGAAUUCAAAAAGGCUGAGAAAAAUAAGCUUUAAACCAAUUAAAUGAUCAAUCAAGAUUGAAAUCAAGAAUACGCUUCUUUACUGGCAAGUUAAUAUUUAACAUUGCUGAUUAUUGAGUCUAUUUAACACUUGCCCAUUCAAUGAGUGAAACAAUGAGCUAAUCAUAAUAUUUGAGUUGUCCAUCAUUUAAUUACAAUCGACUCGCGUAAAUCAAAAAUUGCAUUUUGAAAGGUUGAAAUGAAACUGGAACAAACCACUUGUGUGUGUUACCUUGCAUAACAUCUGAUUGAGAAUGAAAAUUCAAAUUAGAAGCAAUUCAAUGACCACUGUUGUACCUUAAUAUAAUAAUCCUGAUUUCGUGAUGAAAAAUCCACUCGUAAUAAAAUGCAAAAUCAAAGAGUAAUUAAAUGUAAAGUUGAUUAAAAUAGGUUGACCAUUCCUUUUGUCGUUGUUUUGGGUUUUAAAAAAGCUUCAAACACAUUAACUUGACUGUUAGAUUAGCAUGAUUAACAGGAAAAAAUGAUUCAGUAAUUUUAUUGUAAACCAUUAAUCUAACUCUUUAUCAACAAUAAACUAGAUGAUGAAAAGUAAAACAAAAAGAUGAUUCCAGCAAACGGAAAAAAUUAACACGUAAUUCAAUCAUGUAAACAUCAUUUACAAUUUUACAGCUUAUCAAGCCAAGCCGGGUUUGUCCAAUUAUGUUUGUAAUGUUAAUGAUGGCGGACGGCUUAAGGAUUGGAUUGUGUAUGUUUGUGUGUGACUGUCUUGAGAAGUUUUACAGAGUUUUUUGUCUUAUAAAACUUAAAGAUGACCUAAAUCAGUGAAACUAUCUUGUCAAGUGAAGUGGACAAUUAUAAUUAAGCGUCAAUUUAAUUAAUACUAUUCAUUUUAUCUUGUUUUAGUUUUUCUCUUACCUUGGACAAAACAAUGGGACUUCACAUAUAAUGGUCAUAACCAUUCAACAACAAUCUCUCUUUCCCAAUCUUUUUGCUUCAUCUUAUUUUCUUCCUUCUUUUCUUCAUCAUCAGAAUUAUUCUUCAUCUUUCAAUGAAGAUAGCAUCAUAUGCGUGAACAAUUAAGAUGACGAACAAGAUGCCAGAAAAAGACAGGUCACCCUGAAUAAGAAGAUUAACAAAAAUAAGCUUGAUUAAUUUGAUGCAUUCCCAACAAAACAAACAUGCAAAUUUCUCAAAAUAAUAAUAAAAUGGCUUGGAAAUGAUUGACAUAAAUUCAGCUGUUUCGUGUUGUUUGGGCUAAUUUUAAGCAAACCUUGUGAUUAUCUAGUUGAUUCACGUAUUGAUCUAUUUACGACCCAAAAAAAUAGGGACAAGAUUGUGACUUACCUGUGUCUAAAACUCCGUAGACACGUCGUGUUGAAACUCCUUUAUUUUCCUCAUCAGUUCCUGAGCUUGUUGUUUUAGCUGCUGAUGAGAAUCCAUUGGUUAGCUCAUUGACUCGGUCAUCCUGUAAUUUAUUUCCGCCUUUACCACUGCCGUUGCUUCCAUUAACCUCAUCAUUGCCGUUAUUAUCAACAUCUGAUUCAAACGAUCUUUUAUAAUUUCCGUUUAGACUUUUCGAAU